GCAAACAUGAAGCAGACAUGGGAAGGAGCAAAAGCAAGGUAGAGGGCUCCAGCCAGGGGACAGAGACCGCAGAAGAUAACUCAGAUCUUCACAGAAGUGUUUUAAAACAGUUAUGGUCAACAAACUAGAAUAAGAGAGCUGAAACCUGAUCCAGAUGUGGACUUCAGCAGUGUUGGACAUGGCGUGAUGUGACAUCUUCCUUUGAGGAGGCCCCUGAUCUACCAAAGUGAGCUUCUCCCUGCAGAAUCAGAUUGCAAAACUCACCGCAGAGUUCCUGAGUCCAAAGAAAAGCUGCUGACAUCAGAA
rnacentral:lncRNA from 1 species